rnacentral:rRNA from 1 species
GACGAACGCUGGCGGCGUGCUUAACACAUGCAAGUCGAACGGAAAGGCCCUGCUUUUGUGGGGUGCUCGAGUGGCGAACGGGUGAGUAACACGUGAGUAACCUGCCCUUGACUUUGGGAUAACUUCAGGAAACUGGGGCUAAUACCGGAUAGGAGCUCCUGCUGCAUGGUGGGGGUUGGAAAGGUUCGGCGGUUGGGGAGGGACUGGCGGCUGAUCAGGUUGUUGGUGGGGUAGUGGCUUACCAAGGCUUUGACGGGUAGCCGGCCUGAGGGGGUGACGGGCCACAUUGGGACUGGGAUACGGCCCAGAGUCCGGCGGGAGGCAGCAGUGGGGAAUAUUGCACAAUGGGCGGAAGCGUGAUGCAGCAACGCCGCGUGCGGGAUGACGGCCUUCGGGUUGGAAACCGCUUUCGCCUGUGACGAAGCGUGAGGGAGGGUAAUGGGUAAAGAAGCACCGGCUAAUUACGG